UACGUAGGCAGCAAGCGUUGUUCGGAAUUACUGGGCGUAAAGAGUGUGUAGGCGGUUUUCUAAGUUCGGUGUGAAAUCUCCCCGGCUUAACUGGGAGGGUGCGCCGGAAACUGGAGGACUGGAGUGCCGGAGAGGAUAGCGGAAUUCCUGGUGUAGCGGUGAAAUGCGUAGAUAUCAGGAGGAACACCUGCGGUGUAGACGGCUAUCUGGACGGUUACUGACGCUGAGACACGAAAGCGUGGUAGCAACAGG
rnacentral:rRNA from 1 species